AACAAGGCGUACCUGCGGACCUGCGGAGGGAUCAUUACUGGGUUUUUGGGCUCUGCCCGCCACCCGCCCUCUGUUAUUUAGUGACUAUUGUUUCGGCCAGUGGGGCAACCCACGGCCGGCAGUAACCCUGAAGCAUUUUGAAGUCUGAUAAACUGUCAAUAAAAAAACUUUUAGCAACGGAUCU
rnacentral:misc_RNA from 1 species